rnacentral:lncRNA from 1 species
GGUCCAGGUCAGAUCAGUGUAUUAUAUAGUAGUUGGUCCAGGUCAGAUCAGUGUGUUAUAUAGUAGUUGGUCAAGGUCAGUGUGUUAUAUAGUAGUUGGUCCAGGUCAGAUCAGUGUGUUAUAUAGUAGUUGGUCCAGGUCAGGUCAGUGUGUUAUAUAGUAGUUGGUCCAGGACAGAUCAGUGUGUUAUAUAGUAGUUGGUCCAGGUCAGUGUGUUAUAUAGUAGUUGGUCCAGGUCAGGUCAGUGUGUUAUAUAGUAGUUGGUCCAGGUCAGUGUGUUAUAUAGUAGUUGGUCCAGGUCAGACCAGUGUGUUAUAUAGUAGUUGGUCCAGGUCAGAUCAGUGUGUUAUAUAGUAGUUGGUCCAGG